GACGAACGCUGGCGGCGUGCUUAACACAUGCAAGUCGAACGGAAAGGCCCUGCUUUUGUGGGGUGCUCGAGUGGCGAACGGGUGAGUAACACGUGAGUAACCUGCCCUUGACUUUGGGAUAACUUCAGGAAACUGGGGCUAAUACCGGAUAGGAGCUCCUGCUGCAUGGUGGGGGUUGGAAAGUUUCGGCGGUUGGGGAUGGACUCGCGGCUUAUCAGCUUGUUGGUGGGGUAGUGGCUUACCAAGGCUUUGACGGGUAGCCGGCCUGAGAGGGUGACCGGCCACAUUGGGACUGGGAUAGGGCCAGACUCCUACGGGAGGCAGCAGUGGGGAAUAUUGCACAAUGGGCGGAAGCCUGAUGCAGCAACGCCGCGUGCGGGAUGACGGCCUUCGGGUUGUAAACCGCUUUCGCCUGUGACGAAGCGUGAGUGACGGUAAUGGGUAAAGAAGCACCGGCUAACUACGUG
rnacentral:rRNA from 1 species